CCGUCCAUUGUUCUCGGUGCCCCUCGGGCUUGAGCCGCGGUGAGUCCGGAGGCGCCGGGCCGUGCCCGGGGGCGCUUUUACGCGCGGAGUGGCUGCCGGCGUCCGACCUGGUCUCCCCAGAGCCACACUACUUGUUGGAAUUUGAGGAGGGAGGUGUCUUCUCCGUGAGCCUGGCUCUAGAAGACUGAGGUUCAAGGCUAGAAGCCUGAGGCGAUUGCCCCGGGAAGGUGGAUGAUGGCUGCAGAGCUGCCGAGAGUAACCACCCCCCUGAGCCCCUUGGUCCAGGUGCCUCAAGAGGAAGACGAGCAGGAGGAGGUCACUACCAUGAUCCUGGAGGACGACUCUUGGGUGCAGGAAGCUGUAUUGCAGGAGGAUGGCCCCGAGUCGGAACCCUUUCCCCAGAGUGCUAGCAAGGGUAGCCCCCACGGGGAGGCCGCUGGAGGGCCACAGGGUGCACUUGGCCGCCUCCGAGAGCUCUGUCGGCGCUGGCUGAGGCCGGAAGUGCACACCAAGGAACAGAUGCUGACCGUGCUACCAAGGGAAAUUCAAGCCUGGCUGCAAGAGCAUCGUCCUGAAAGCAGCGAGGAGGCCGUGGCCCUGGUGGAGGACUUAACCCAGACCCUUCGGGACGGCGGUAAGAUGCUGGACCUCGUGGGGAGAGGGUGGGGAGCAUUCCCCACUGUGGAGGAGUGUGGUGUUUGUGGAAGAGGAGAGGGUGGUAUCCAGGAUGGAGGUGGAGACAGCCUGUCCUCCUGCUGCUGCUGCUGCAGGCAACCAGGACAUGCUCACCCUUUUUAUUAA